GCCGGGUGGGGUGGCUCACGCCUGUAAUCCCAGCACUUUGGGAGGCUGAGGUGGGUGGAUCACCUGAGGUCGGGAGUUCGAGACCAGCCUGACCAACAUGGAGAAACCCCAUCUCUA
rnacentral:SRP_RNA from 2 species